rfam:Eimeria praecox, Houghton, WGS project CBTT01000000 data, contig: Eph_contig5996_2
GGCAACGUGGCCGAGUGGUUAAGGCGGUGCCCUGCUAAGGCAUUGGGUUCUGCCCGCGUAGGUUC